UGGUUCUGGCAUCGAUGAAGAACGCAGCGAAAUGCGAUACGUAAUGUGAAUUGCAGACACCGUGAAUCAUCGAAUCUUUGAACGCACAUUGCGCCCUUUGGUAUUCCGAAGGGCAUGCCUGUUCGAGCGUCAUUACACCUUCAGUCAAGGUUUUGGGGAUUGCCUGCGCAGCCCUUAAAGAACUUGGUGGUCGCGGGAAACUCACACGCACAGUCAUCUCUCUGCGACGUGAGCGGCCCGGCGCACACCGUAACCUCUUCUGUUUGACCUCGGAUCAGGUAGGGAUACCCGCUGA
rnacentral:misc_RNA from 1 species